AGUCGUCUAAGCGACUAUAAAAAGCUUUAGGCUUAGAGCGUCCACCCCCUCGGGGUGGGGUAGUA
rnacentral:ribozyme from 1 species